GCAUACUGGUUCCCUUGAGUACGCGCAACGCCGGCGGAAUUCGUCGUGUAGCGGUGAAAUGCUUAGAUAUGACGAAGAACCCCGAUUGCGAAGGCAGCCGGCGGGAGCGCAACUGACGCUGAAGCUCGAAGGUGCGGGUAUCGAACAGGAUUAGAUACCCUGGUAGUCCGCACGGUAAACGAUGGAUGCCCGCUCUCGGCGCCUGGCGCCGGGGGCCAAGCGAAAGCGUUAAGCAUCCCACCUGGGGAGUACGCCGGCAACGGUGAAACUCAAAGGAAUUGACGGGGGCCCGCACAAGCGGAGGAACAUGUGGUUUAAUUCGAUGAUACGCGAGGAACCUUACCCGGGCUUGAAUUGCAGGAGAACGAUACAGAGAUGUUGAGGUCCUUCGGGACUCCUGCGAAGGUGCUGCAUGGUUGUCGUCAGCUCGUGCCGUGAGGUGUCGGCUCAAGUGCCAUAACGAGCGCAACCCCUCUCCCCAGUUGCCAUCGGGUUAUGCCGGGCACUCCGGGGACACUGCCGCCGCAAGGUGCGAGGAAGGUGGGGACGACGUCAAAUCAGCACGGCUCUUACGUCCGGGGCUACACACGUGUUACAAUGGCCGGUACAGAGGGCUGGCGCUCCGCGAGGCGCGCCGAAUCUAUAAAGCCGGUCUCAGUUCGGACUGGGGUCUGCAACCCGACCCCACGAAGCUGGAUUCGCUAGUAAUCGCGCAUCAGCCACGGCGCGGUGAAUACGUUCCCGGGCCUUGUACACACCGCCCGUCAAGCCAUGAAAGCCGGGGGUGCCUGAAGUCCGUGACCGCAAGGAUCGGCCUAGGGCAAAACUGGUGAUUGGGGCUAAGUCGUAACAAGGUAGCCGUACCGGAAGG
rnacentral:rRNA from 1 species